UGACCUCGAAUCAGGUAGGGAUACCCGCUGAACUUAAGCAUAUCAAUAAGCGGAGGAAAAGAAACCAAC
rnacentral:rRNA from 1 species